rnacentral:misc_RNA from 1 species
AACGCACAUUGCGCCCCUUGGUAUUCCAUGGGGCAUGCCUGUUCGAGCGUCAUUUGUACCCUCAAGCUCUGCUUGGUGUUGGGUGUUUGUCCUGCCUCUGCGUAUGGACUUGCCUGAAAGCAAUUGGCAGCCGGCACAUUAGCCUGUAGCGCAGCACAUUUUGCGAUGCUGGCUAAGGUUGUUGGCGUCCAUGAAGCCUAUAACUUUGCAUUGACCUCGGAUCAGGUAGGGAUACCCGCUGAACUUAA